UACAGAGUUUGGACUUUAAU
rnacentral:piRNA from 1 species